UACCCCCACUGCAAAGAUGCAUAGUUCCUGCUACGCUGGAAUCUAUUCUUGCUCCACAGCUUUCAGGUGGGAUGCUUUUGAGUUAUUUUUAUUUUAAAUUUCAUUGCCUUCCAAAAAUAAUGACCUAAAUAAAUCUUUUUUUUUGACAAAAGUUAUUUUUUUUGCCUCGAUCAUCUCCUCAUGAUGUUUACCACCUCUGGUAAAAUCGUCUACAUCCUCAGUUGAAUAGAUCAUGCAGUUCUACCCCUGUAGCACAAUGGCCUAGGUCAAGGUUCAAUGUGAUGUGGUUCAGUUUUUUGUGUUUCCUGAAAAACCUGAAAAAAUGACUUAGGUCAUUAUUAACCACGCCCGAUGGGUACGUCAGCGGGGUUAUUGCAUUCGGUGCGGUAUCUGGCUGGGUAUGUAUGUAUGUAUGUAUGUAUGUAUGUAUGUAUCUAUGUAUGUAUCUAUGUAUGUAUGUAUCUAUGUAUGUAUGCGGCUAUGUCCGGUCCGAUAUCUCUGCAACCGCUGAAGUCAGGAUAAUCAAACUUGGCACUGAAGAUCAGUCUAAGGUCCCCUGCUCAGUUGUGGAGUUACAGGUCAGCAGAUCAAGUAGGGAGGGAGAUACGUACGAUGAUCAAAAUUGAUACAUAUUGCAUCAGUUGUAUUGACCCUUUGCGUGUGACGUCACGCUUCGUAUAGGAACGCCCCCGCUGUCUGAGUGGACGUCAACACGGAGCCGCCUGUCUUCCCACCAAACACAAAUCUCUUGUAAAGAAAACAACCGUAGGCUAUUUUGCUUGGGUUUUAUCCACUUCACAAAAAUGGUAAUCGCUUGCUGUGCUGUCGGCUGCACAAAUAGGCAGGGGUGCAAGCAAAACUUGUCUUUUUAUCGGAUACCUCUUGAUAAAGACAGACGACGAAGAUGGAUAGCAACUAUCAAUCGGAAGAACUGGCAGCCGUCAAAAUAUUCAAGAAUUUGCAGCGAACACUUUGUACAAGGAAAAAAGAGCGAGGACCCCUUGUCCCCUGAUUAUGUGCCAUCAAUUUUUGCCCAUACCAAGUCCCCAGCAAAAAGACGUGCUCAGGACAUUGUCAAGAAAUAUGACUUGCGACAAAAACUGAAGAAAAAAAAGCUGCAGAUGUCAUCAAGAAAUGAAGCUGCCAGGACGCUCCUCAGUCUCUCAACCACAGUACCUGAGUUUGAAGAGGACACUGAAAAUGCAGUGGCAGUGUGCGACAACAUUUCAAAUGAGAUUAUGUGCCAAACCAGCCUCAGCGGAGAAGACAUUGAGAUUCUUCAACAAGAGUGUCAACUUUUGCGUAGUGAGACAUUUGAACUUAAAGAGAAGCUAGACUUGGACUUCUUUCAACAAAAAGCCUUGAAAACCUAGACAAACUAAAAACACUCACUGGACUACACAGUUAUGACGUGUUCAUGGCCAUUUUUGACCUUGUAAAGCCAUUUCUCAAAGACACGCCACACCUGACAGGUUUCCAGCAGCUACUCAUUACAAUAAUGCGUCUCAAAGAAAAUUUAACUGCAUCAUUUUUAUCUUAUCUUUUUGGUGUUCAUACUUCAACUGUGUCAAGAGUUUUUACUUAUGUGAUUAAUGUUCUGAAUGAGAUCUUAGUUCCAGCUUGUGUAUUGUGGCCCAAGAGGGAGCACGUCCAAACAUCUAUGCCAAUGUGCUUCAGAAAGUCCUUCAAACAUUGCAUGUCAGUUAUUGAUUGUUUUGAGAUAUUUAUUGAUAAACCAAAAGAUUUAAAGGCAAGGGCUCAAACAUAUUCUCAAUAUAAAUCCCACAACACCAUGAAAUAUCUGAUCAGCAUCACUCCACAAGGUGUCAUCUCUUUCAUCUCAAAGGGCUGGGGAGGAAGAAGUACAGAUGCCCACAUUACAGCUAACAGUGGCUUUUUGGAUCACCUUCAGCCUGGAGAUGUAGUCCUUGCCGACCGUGGUUUCACCAUCCAGAACCAAGUUGGCCUGUACUGUGCAAAGGUUGAAAUCCCUGCGUUCACACGAGGCAAAAAACAACUGGGCGCAGCUGAGCUGGAAGACACCAGGAGACUUGCAGCAGUCCGCAUCCACGUCGAGAGGGUCAUUGGCCAAGCUCGCUCCAAGUACAAGAUGCUGAAGGGACCGGUGCCCAUUAGUCUCCUCUCCACUGAUGAUACAGACUACACUACUCUGGACAAAAUAGUGAGAGUAGCGUGUGCCCUUACAAAUCUGUGCCCCUCUGUUGUGCCAACUGAUUAACUGGUGUGUUCAAUUUCCACAUAUGUGAUGAACAGUAAUGAUGCAUUUCAAGAAAGUAAUUUAAAGCAACUUUAUUUGACUGUUGCCACUUUACACUUGUCAAUGUAACAAACAGUGAAAUAAAAUAUAUAUAUAUA